rnacentral:rRNA from 1 species
CGCAAGGCUGAAACUUAAAGGAAUUGGCGGGGGAGCACUGCAACGGGAGGAGCGUGCGGUUUAAUUGGAUUCAACGCCGGAAAACUCACCAAGGCCGACUGUUAGAUGAAGACCAGCGUAAUGAGCUUGUCGGAUUUUCAGAGAGGUGGUGCAUGGCCGUCGUCAGUUCGUACUGUAAAGCGUUCUGUUAAGUCAGAUAACGAACGAGACCCUCAUCUCUAUUUGCNACCUGUCUCUCCGGAANAGGCGCACUAUAGAGAGACCGCUGGUGUGAAACCAGAGGAAGGCGAGGGCAACGACAGGUCAGUAUGCCCCGAAUGUCUUGGGCUACACGCGCGCUACAAAGGACAGGACAAUGGGAAGCCAGGCCGAGAGGCCGAGCUAACCCGAAACCUGUUCGUAGUUCGGAUUGAGGGCUGUAACUCGCCCUCAUGAAGCUGGAUUCCGUAGUAAUCGUGUUUCAANAUAGCACGGUGAAUAUGCCCCUGCUCCUUGCACACACCGCCCGUCAAACCAUCUUAGUUGGGGGUGGGUGAGGCUGCGCUUUAUGGCGUAUUCGAGCCUGCCUUCGACAAGGAGGGUUAAGUCGUAACAAGGUAUCUGUAGGGGAACCUGCAGAUG